rnacentral:rRNA from 1 species
CCUACGGGUGGCAGCAGUGAGGAAUAUUGGUCAAUGGGCGCGAGCCUGAACCAGCCAAGUAGCGUGAAGGAUGACUGCCCUACGGGUUGUAAACUUCUUUUAUAAAGGAAUAAAGUGAGGCACGUGUGCCUUUUUGUAUGUACUUUAUGAAUAAGGAUCGGCUAACUCCGUGCCAGCAGCCGCGGUAAUACGGAGGAUCCGAGCGUUAUCCGGAUUUGUUGGGUUUAAAGGGAGCGGAGAUGGGGUGUUAAGUCAGUUGUGAAAGUUUGCGGCUCAACCGUAAAAUUGCAAUUGAUACUGGCAGUCUGGAGGACAGUGGAGGUAGGCGGAAUUCGAGGUGUAGCAGUGAAAUGCUUAGAUAUCACGAAGAACUCCGAUUGCGAAGGCAGCUUACUAAACUGCCACUGACAUUGAUGCUCGAAAGUGUGGGUAGCAAACAGGAUUAGAUACCCCAGUAGUC